AAGGAUGCAAUGCAACUUGAUAGUUGUGCUAUCCAGUGAAAAGAGAUCCUCAAGUUGCAUCUGCAGUGGAGAUGCCCCUGCAAGAGGCAUGAUCUGUGUCCGAGGAGUAUGGAAUUGCAGACAGACUGCAACUGGGAUGUGUGAUGACUUCUAGUGUGGGGUUUAGAGUGAGUCCAAGGACACUUCGCUGGUGCACAAACAUUCACUGCAGUGAUAAUGAUAUCCUACAACCACGACAACGGCAAAGUUCCUGUCAGCCUUCUUUGCAGCACUUUGCCACUUUGCUAUACCAUUUGGCUUGAGUUAGGGUUUACCUCUUCUCACACUUAAGAAGAAAAGAGUGAGGUGUGGAGGAUGAUGGCUACAGUUUGGAUAGAGUCUGGUAUCAUGAUAGUGUUUACUAAGUGUGUUGAGCAGCACGUUUGCCACCACCAUACGCCUCCAGUGAAGCUGUGACUCCUGGGAUCCUGCCCUACCUCGGGCUGCUCUGCAGUGCCAGCCCCACACUGCAGCACACAGGUUGCAACCAGGUCCAGGGGACCAGAUCCCCAGGCCUGGAGGCUGCAGGAGCACGAGAGCUUCUGUACGGUCAUCACAGAGCCCUUGGUCUCUCACCAAGCUGAGCCAUGGAGUGGCAGACUGCUCCCUGGACACAAAUGGAGCCUUUGCAGUCAGCCUUUCCAAUAAAACUCUUCUUCAGGGAGAAAUGUUCUGCAGAGAUUGACAAACCACUCCACAUUUGGUGUGUGAGGUGAAGUGGUGGGAAGAUGCCCUCACUACGCCCAGGAGAACCAGGCACAUGCACAGCCAGCUCUGAUGCUGCAGGUAGAACCCCUUCCAGCAUUUAACUACAGCCCUGGAAAAACAAAGUGUCUGUCAAGUGGCUAUGGAGUUCAGCUGUGGUAUGCUGUCUGAGGGUGUGGAUGUGGGGAGUAAGUAAAGUCUCCUGUUUAAAUAUGACCUUGGAAGGCAGAUGUGAAAUUGGGAAACUUCUUCACUGAAAACGGCAAACAUUUAUUUACGUCUCAGUACUCCUGUUUUUAUUACUCAUCCCCAGUUUUACAUAUUACAUAUUUAAGUAUUAAAUGUUACUGAUUUGACUGAAAGACAUUUUUCUAGACUAUGAGUAUUGCAGGAGCAGUGUUAGGAAUAAGGAGACUAAAAAUAUUAGGAAUCAAGGUGAUAAAAAAUAUGAUUUGUUAAAAACACAGUUUUGUUUUGAAUAAAAUACAGUGAUUCCAAAUUCCCAGUGUCACAAGCAAGUGAAUCUCAGCAGGUUGUCUUCCUUUAGAAAACAGACAUGAAAUUAACUCCGGUAUUUUUUCAGUUUAAUGUUUAAUGUUUUGACUUGUCCAAGUAACAGGAAACUGGAGGAUUUUGGAGUGGCCCAGAGCAAGAGCUCUGACUGAGCUCCUGUCGGCUGCAAUUGCUCACAGUAAUGGUGGCACUGAAGAUGAAGUUUUAUUUCUGCAGCCUUUGUACUUUGCUUGAUUAGACAUUGCC